rnacentral:rRNA from 1 species
UCGACGAUUUUCCGGUUGAUCCUGCCGGAGGCUACUGCUAUCGGGGUUCGAUUAAGUCAUGCGAGUUAAAUGUUCUUCGUGAACAUAGCGAACUGCUCAGUAACACGUGGAUAACCUACCCUUAGGACCGGAAUAACCCCGGGAAACUGGGGAUAAUACCGGAUAAGCCAUAGACGCUGGAAUGCCCUAUGGUUCAAAGCUCCGGCGCCUAAGGAUGGAUCUGCGGUCUAUCAGGUUGUAGUGGGUGUAACGUACCUACUAGCCGACGACGGAUACGGGUUGUGAGAGCAAGAGCCCGGAGAUGGAUUCUGAGACACGAAUCCAGGCCCUACGGGGUGCAGCAGGCGCGAACACUUUACAAUGCGGGAAACCGCGAUAAGGGAACCCCGAGUGCCAGCAUCAAAUGUUGGCUGUCCAGAUGGUUAAAAAUCAUUUGUUAGCAAGGGCCGGGCAAGACCGGUGCCAGCCGCCGCGGUAACACCGGCGGCCCGAGUGGUAGCCGUUUUUAUUGGGUCUAAAGGGUCCGUAGCCGGCCUGAUAAGUCCUUUGGGAAAUCUGACAGCUUAACUGUCAGGCUUCUAAGGGAUACUGUCAGGCUUGGGACCGGAAGAGGUAAGGGGUACUCCAGGGGUAGGAGUGAAAUCUUGUAAUCCCUGGGGGACCAUCUGUGGCGAAGGCGCCUUACCAGAACGGGUCCGACGGUGAGGGACGAAAGCUAGGGGAGCAAACCGGAUUAGAUACCCGGGUAGUCCUAGCUGUAAACGAUGCUCGCUAGGUGUCAGACACGGUGCGACCGUGUUUGGUGCCGCAGGGAAGCCGUUAAGCGAGCCACCUGGGAAGUACGGUCGCAAGGCUGAAACUUAAAGGAAUUGGCGGGGGAGCACUACAACGGGUGGAGCCUGCGGUUUAAUUGGAUUCAACGCCGGG